AGCGAUGCUCGCGGCUCCGCUUUGGGCUCCGUCUUCCCACAGCCGCCUUCGGUCUCGUAUAGCCGACCCUGUUCAGGAACCGGUUACGUUGUUGAGAUCUUCCUGCCUGCGCUUCACUUACAGGUUUGUGUCACUCGUCCCACUUUACCUCACUACAGUCCUUUAAGGUAAUGUCAUAAUCCCCGUUUUAGAAAUGAUUCUGAGAUUCAGAAAGGCUGCUCAGGACUUGCUGCCUGACUCCCCACUUCAUCCCUGGGAGAAAGAAUUGAAGGUUAAGAGAGAAGGCUCAACCCUCAACUAAAAAAAAAAAAAACUUUCCUUGAUGUGGAUGGCCUUCUCAGAGUGAAGAUGGGAAAUUUUAGAUUCUGAGUUUCUUAGAUUGAGGUGACCCCGUCCUUCAAUCUCCCUAUUUCCUAGGGAGGAAAUUGUGUCUAGAGAUUAUAUCGAGACAGAGCAAAAAUGGAGUUAUUAAGUACUUAAAUUUCUACUACGAGAUGUUCUUCCAUUAGGAAAAACAAAACAAAAAACCUGGAAUUCUUUUUUUUAAAAAACACAGAUAAAGCAUUCAUGGCUCCAGUUUCCAAAGUGAACAUGUGUUAAUGUUUCAUAAUUUGGUAUUUUUAGGGUAAAGAACUUGAACUUAAGAAAAGGUGGAAUUCUCCUGUUUGGGCUCUCUGAAUGGUUGUAUUUUGUGAAUUGAUCUACAGCUUGGUUUUUAAGGAAUGUCAUGGCCUAGGUUCGACUUUUAAAAAAUUAUGCCAUGAAAGGGGGAAAGCAGUUUGGGAACAGGUCACAGUGUGAUGUUGUGGUGACUUGCUUUGGAGCUGAGACCUACAUGGGUAAGUCAUCCCAAAAGCUAUGCUAUUGUUUGGCUACCUUUGUAAAACUUGGUGCCUUCUCUGCUCCGAGGUGAGCUCUAAAACACUACUGAGAGAGUGGAGAAGAACUCCCCGGGACUGAGGACCCCCAGAGACUUCUUGAGACAAGUAGGCUUUUGGAGAGCUGCUGGGAACUGAAAGUACCAGGAGGGUUCGCUAAGUGAAGCAGCCUUGAGUGAGUAGCCAUUUCUCAAGAACGUAUGGAUUGUGUCAUAGAAGGAGCAGCAGGGCCUGGGGUGGGACUCUUGGCAGAGCACUGGCCCAGCAUACUGGAGGCCCUGGGUAUGAGUUUUGUCACCAAAAGAGGCAAAACUGUGAAUCAAGAGGAACUAUUCCAUUUCUACUCUAAGAUGUAACACGUUUUAGUGUGAGGCCAAAAAGUACUGUUCAUUUUAAAGACUUAAACAUCUAGUAUUGUUACUCGUAUGGUCUUUUAUAAACAUACUACAUUAGGCUCUAAUUUCUUAAGAGCAAAUAUGUGUUGAUUUCGUACCUUUAGCGCAUGAGAAUGACAUAAAAAGGGUGCUCAUUAAAUUAAUGAAUGAAGAAACCUUAAACUCACCACUUUUUGGCAGGAUUUUCUAUAGACUAGGUUGGCUCAAAUAUGGAAUCCUCCUGCUUUGGCCUCCCCAAAUGACAAAAUGGCAGUGGUGCAAUAUGUCAGCUGUGCAGUGUCACAUCAGAUGGCAUCACCAUUGUCCAGGCAGAUGCUCUUUUCUCAGCAGGGCAUUUGGGGCUUUGCUAGUCCUACCUUCCUCUGCGAGGUCUGAGGAGGAGUCUGAUUGCCCAACCUUUGGGUGUUCUGAUGACUUCCUGUUAAACAAACUGAAACCUUAUUUUCUGGGGGUUCUACAAUGCUAAUGUUUUCAUUUAUUUUUGUAUUUCAAGUCUACACUUUCCUUUUAAAGCUAAAGUAGUUACCAAGUUUAGGAGGUAGGUGACUGUACUCGCUGUUUUUGUAUGCCAACUUGACACAAGCUAGAGUUAUUGCAGAGAAAGGAGCCUCCCUCGAGGAAAUGCCUCUAUGAGAUCCAACUGUAAGGCAUUUUCUCAAUUAGUGAUCAAGGGGGGAGGGCCUAGCCCAUUGUGGGUGGUGCCGUCCCUGGGCUAGUAGUCAGUCCUGGUUCUAUAAGAAAGCUGAGUAAGCUGGGGAGGCAAGCCAGGAAGUAACAUCCCUCCAUGACCUCUGCAUCAGCUCCUGCCUCCAAGUCCCUGCCCUGUGUGAGUUCCAGUCCUGACUUCCUUGGUGAUGAACAGCAGUGUGGAAGUGUAAGCUGAAUAAACCCUUUCCUUCCC
rnacentral:lncRNA from 1 species